rnacentral:rRNA from 1 species
GACGAACGCUGGCAGCGUGCCUAAUACAUGCAAGUAGAACGCAGUUGCGAACGGGUGAGUAACGCGUAGGUAACUGCCUCAUAGCGGGGGAUAACUAUUUGAAACGAUAGCUAAUACCGCAUACUGUGAGAUGGACCUGCGUUGUAUUAGCGCGUUGGUGAGGUAAAGGCGCACCAAGGCGACGAUACAUAGCCGACCUGAGAGGGUGAUAAGCAAGUUUGGGAAUGAGAGACGGCACGGUCGCCUACGGGAGGCAGCAGUAAGGAGUCUUGGGCAAUGGACGGUAGGCUGACCUAGCAACGCAGCGGGAGUGAAGAAGGUUAUCGGAUCGUAAAGCUCUGUUGUUAGAGAAGCGGUAACUAACCAGAAAGGGACGGCUAACGACGUGCCAGCCGCCGCGGUAAUUC